UACGUAGGGUGCAAGCGUUAAUCGGAAUUACUGGGCGUAAAGCGUGCGCAGGCGGUUAUAUAAGACAGAUGUGAAAUCCCCGGGCUCAACCUGGGAACUGCAUUUGUGACUGUAUAGCUAGAGUACGGUAGAGGGGGAUGGAAUUCCGCGUGUAGCAGUGAAAUGCGUAGAUAUGCGGAGGAACACCGAUGGCGAAGGCAAUCCCCUGGACCUGUAAUGACGCUCAUGCACGAAAGCGUGGGGAGCAAACAGG
rnacentral:rRNA from 1 species